rnacentral:lncRNA from 1 species
ACAGAAGCAUGUCUUAUGUAUAGAAAGAAAAGCAAUUUUAAAACCCGCUACUGUGAAACAGAGCCUGCCACAAAAGAAAACUGAAGGAAGAGGACAUAAAUUGAAUAUGGACAGAAGCAGACAGAUCUGGACUACAAGGCAGGUCUGUAAAUUGUUUUUUUAAAGACUGUAGAAGACUGUAGUUGAAUACUCACUUGUAUAUGAGAUUAUCCAGCCAAAGGAAAAGGGCACAUUCAUGAGCACCAUGCCAACGCCAUAUAAAUUAGGAAUGGGGAAAUCUCUGAAGAACAUAGUUAAUGAAUACUGAUAGAUGUAAUAAGUAUGAGAAUCAAAAAGCCUGAAGUCAUAAAAGAAGAAGGAGAAGCAUUUAUAUUUUUCUGGAUAGCCAAAUCCUACUUCUAUAUUGAGUAUAGUUCUUUUUUUGCCUUUAGGCUCAGUCAAAAGGUCACUCUUCAGCCAUGCUGGACUUCAGCUACACUUGCUCAACUGGCAGCACGCUUGACUAAGAACAGAUUAUUACAGAGCUGUGGCUCCCUGCAGAAUGGAAAUCCAACAUGCAAACAAACAAGGCUGACACUGCACAAAAGAAAUUUAAACUGGGAAUGUGACCUGCAAGAUGUUGAACAUCUGCUACUACCGUUUAUCUGAGAUUUACAGAGUUGGAUGGUGUGCUUCACGCCAGUGUCUGACCUCCAGAAGCAAGGGAUGAACAAGGCAGGGCUCUUCCCAGAGUUCCUGCAGAGCUUCUGCUCCUAGGUGUGGGCACAAGUAUGUGUCUGCUCUGGGGCUGUGCUGGUGUGAUAUCUGUAGGUAUCUCUGCAGAUAAAUAGCUGGUGCCUAGAUCAGAGGCUCCCAAUGGGUUAUGGUGGUGAGAAAAAACAGCACACAUGAAAAGCUGAACCCAAGCCACUGAGGUCUUCCAAGCUGUAUUGACUGUGGUAGGGACACUGUGGAAGAGGUGGCCAUCUUAGAGCUGGGAGGAGAGGAAAUAUGGAUGAUACAGAGGUUUGAGACAUUCUCAGUCUCUUCAGACCUGUUUGAUAAAGAUGUCUCCAUCCCACUCAAAUCCCUAGUUCUGACUUUACCUCUGAUAAUGUUCCUUCUCUGUGUCUGUGUCAGAGGAACUACAAGAAAUCUCACUUUCUCCUUUGUAACACAGUUCCCAACCUCUGAAAUUGCUAAAGGGAAUGCUCCACUGAAACUAGUAUUUAUUCUAUCUCAAAAUACAUUACACUGAACUUUCUGAUCUCAGGAGUCUGAAGCUGCAUAGAGAAUUGACCUGAAAAGGUGGGUGCCAUGGCUUUUACAGCACUCUGUACUGGUUAGAGGACAAAAAAAAAAAAAAAAAAAAAAAGUUACUUUUUCCUCUGUCUCUUAUUAGUUUCCAUAUGGUUGAAAGUGAACAAGCUCAAAGGUAAUUAAAUUUUAAAGGUGCAGAAAGAGAAAAGAAAUAUAUUGAUCUUUAGGAAGGCUAACAUAACAUUUUUUUCAUUUUCUGUUUAUAUCAACAACUUGUUCCCUAUGAACAGAAAAUGAAAAACAUGUCUUGCCGUAACAAACAUCUUUAAUGUAUGCAACUGUCACUUAAAGCAGCAUAUAACUUGAGGUUUUCCUGACCUUGGCAGCUUUACAAGGUGUUGGGAAUUGAGUUGAUUUUUCUCAUCUUGGCAUAUGAAGCUUGAGAGAGUGCUUCUGGCUCCAUCUCCUAAGAGUGCUUGUGGCACGAACAUGAUGUAUACACAGCAACUUUAUAUGUAUCAGAAAUAGAAAUAUCAAGAAUGUCAACAAAAGCAGACAAUUCUGGAACAUUUUUUUCCUGCCAGCUGCUGAACAUUUCAUACAGACAGAGCCCGACUCUGCUUUUAUUAAAUCCGAUGCAAAGCUCUCAGCAGACAUUAUGUAGUAGCUUGUUCUCUUUAAAGGUGAAGAGUGAAGAAGUUCUUGAAACCUUGUUUACCGCAAGAAACCCCAACAUUGAAAUGUUUUUCUACAUUUAGACCAGGUAUUUGGAAAUGCCUUCUAUUUUAGAUAUUUAUUUAUUUCACACAUCUGCAGGUAGUAGCUGUACCUCAUAAACUUUAAUCUAUGUGACCUAAUAUAUCUAACUCAUGUCCUAGCUAAUGGAAAAAUUCAGAAGAGAUAUUACUUAUCAUAAUUGCUGCUGCAUGCAGUGUGAUAUGUAUGCCCCCCUCAGUACAAAGCAGGUUAAAGCAUUGUUUAUACCCAUAGUUCAUCAGUGAGGGUAAUCUCUUGGAAUAGGGAUGAUUUUUUUUUCUUUUUUUUCCCCAGAGGUAUUUCAACAACAUUUCACAUGGAAAUGCCACAGCUCCAGUUUUCUUUAGAAAUUUAAGCAUCAGAGAUAUCUAUGAGUCAGAAAGAAGUGACAUAGGAAUUUGAAACACAUAAUGAGCAAGUUGACUCAGGAAGUGAAAUCUAAGAUAAUGCUUACAUACUUAACGUGCAAUUUAGAUGCCUAACUCUAAGAAAGCAAUACAAGGAUAUAUAAGGAUGGGAUGAAUACUGAACUGGAAUGGCUGGGCUGAAAGAAAUGUACUGAACUAGAAGAAUAGAUGAUUAAGCGGCUUGAAAAUUGACUGUACUUGGGCUCAAAAGGGCUCCAAGGAUCUAAUAUCUCUAUAUCUAUCUGAUAGCUGUGAAUGAGCAUUGUACACUGAGGUGGGUACCAGGCCUCACACUGUUCAACAUCUUCAUUGAUAACCAGGGUGAUGGUAGAAUGCAAUAUAAACAAAUUUGUUGGUGAUAAUAAAUUAGAGGGAGUCACUGACA